GAAAUGCGAUACUUGGUGUGAAUUGCAGAAUUCCGUGAAUCAUCGAAUCUUUGAACGCACCUUGCGCUUCUUGGUAUUCCAGGAAGCAUGCCUGUUUGAGUCUCAGUAGACUCUCACCUUGUGGAGCUGGGCGACUCGGAAGCGGCCGCCUGAAAUGCAUCCAGCUGGCCUCUAGAGUGCCCGACACUUGCGGCUUGAUAAUACCUCGGUUUAUUAGCAGCGCGUGUUGUGCGUCUUUAAAGAUCAGUGAAUCACCGCCUCGGCGGUCUGACACCUUGAGCUCAAAUCAGGCAAGACUACCCGCUGAACUUAA
rnacentral:misc_RNA from 1 species